AACGGUCGGCGGACCGAGAUCUCCAGCCGCCCGCGGCCCCGUCCUGGCUCACCUUCCCCGGAGCCAGGGAGGGACCCACGGUGCGGAGGGGGAUCCCGGCUCGCCGAAGUGCAGGA
rfam:Sinomonas sp. MTSC 117 Contig104, whole genome shotgun sequence.